GACGAACGCUGGCGGCGUGCCUAAUACAUGCAAGUCGAACGAGAGCGACCGGUGCUUGCACUGGUCAAUCUAGUGGCGAACGGGUGAGUAACACGUGGGUAACCUGCUCAUCAGAGGGGGAUAACAUCCGGAAACGGAUGCUAAAACCGCAUAGGUCUUCGAGCCGCAUGGCUUGAAGAGGAAAAGAGGCGCAAGCUUCUGCUGAUGGAUGGACCCGCGGUGCAUUAGCUAGUUGGCGAGGUAACGGCUCACCAAGGCCGUGAUGCAUAGCCGACCUGAGAGGGUGAUCGGCCACAUUGGGACUGAGACACGGCCCAAACUCCUACGGGAGGCAGCAGUAGGGAAUCUUCCGCAAUGGACGCAAGUCUGACGGAGCAACGCCGCGUGAGUGAAGAAGGUUUUCGGAUCGUAAAACUCUGUUGUUAGAGAAGAACAAGUGCUAGAGUAACUGUUAGCGCCUUGACGGUAUCUAACCAGAAAGCCACGGCUAACUACGUG
rnacentral:rRNA from 1 species